UACGUAGGGGGCUAGCGUUGUCCGGAAUCAUUGGGCGUAAAGCGCGUGUAGGCGGUUCGGUAAGUCCGCUGUGAAAGUCGGGGGGCUCAACCCUCAGAUGCCGGUGGAUACUGUCGGGCUUGAGUACGGAAGAGGCGAGUGGAAUUCCUGGUGUAGCGGUGGAAUGCGCAGAUAUCAGGAGGAACACCAAUGGCGAAGGCAGCACUCUGGGGACGUGACUGACGCUGAGACGCGAAAGCGUGGGGAGCAAACAGG
rnacentral:rRNA from 1 species